AAAAAAUUAGUUAAAUAAUAACAUUAGCUUGUCAAGCUAAAAUUACUAAAUUUUAGUAUUUUUUG
rnacentral:tRNA from 1 species